rnacentral:rRNA from 1 species
GACGAACGCUGGCGGCGUGCUUAACACAUGCAAGUCGAACGGAAAGUCCCGGCUUUUUUGGGCGCCUCUGGGGGCGAACGGGGAAUUAACCCUUGAGUAACCUGCCCUUGACUUAGGGAUAACUUCAGGAAACUGGGGCUAAUCCCGCCAAGGAGCUCCUGCUGCUUGGUGGGGGUGGGAAAGUUUCGGCGGUUGGGGAUGGACUCGCGGCUUAUCAGCUUGUUGGUGGGGUAGUGGCUUACCAAGGCUUUGACGGGUAGCCGGCCUGAGAGGGUGACCGGACAAAUUGGGACUGAGAUACGGCCCAGACUCGAACGGGAGGCAGGAGUGGGGAAUAUUGCACAAUGGGCGGAAGCCUGAUGCAGCAACGCCGCGUGCGGGAUGACAGCCUUCGGGUUGUAAACCGCUUUCGCCUGUGACGAAGCGUGAGUGACGGUAAUGGGUAAAGAAGCACCGGCUAACUACGUG